rnacentral:rRNA from 1 species
ACUGGAAGGUCCUCAGGCCGAAAGGGGCUCUGCCCGCCCGAGGAUGGGCCGGCGGCCGAUUAGGUAGUUGGUGGGGUAACGGCCCACCAAGCCGAAGAUCGGUACGGGCCAUGAGAGUGGGAGCCCGGAGAUGGACACUGAGACACGGGUCCAGGCCCUACGGGGCGCAGCAGGCGCGAAACCUCCGCAAUGCGGGCAACCGCGACGGGGGGACCCCCAGUGCCGUGGCAACGCCACGGCUUUUCCGGAGUGUAAAAAGCUCCGGGAAUAAGGGCUGGGCAAGGCCGGUGGCAGCCGCCGCGGUAAUACCGGCGGCCCGAGUGGUGGCCGCUAUUAUUGGGCCUAAAGCGUCCGUAGCCGGGCCCGUAAGUCCCUGGCGAAAUCCCACGGCUCAACCGUGGGGCUUGCUGGGGAUACUGCGGGCCUUGGGACCGGGAGAGGCCGGGGGUACCCCUGGGGUAGGGGUGAAAUCCUAUAAUCCCAGGGGGACCGCCAGUGGCGAAGGCGCCCGGCUGGAACGGGUCCGACGGUGAGGGACGAAGGCCAGGGGAGCGAACCGGAUUAGAUACCCGGGUAGUCCUGGCUGUAAAGGAUGCGGGCUAGGUGUCGGGCGAGCUUCGAGCUCGCCCGGUGCCGAAGGGAAGCCG